AGCGAACGCUGGCGGCAGGCUUAACACAUGCAAGUCGAGCGGGCGUAGCAAUACGUCAGCGGCAGACGGGUGAGUAACGCGUGGGAACGUGCCCUUUGGCUCGGAACAACACAGGGAAACUCGUGCUAAUACCGAAUAAGCCCUUACGGGGAAAGAUUUCUCGCAGAAGGAUCGGCCCGCGUCUGAUUAGCUUGUUGGUGAGGUAACGGCUCACCAAGGCUACGAUCAGUAGCUGGUCGGAGAGGAUGAUCAGCCACACUGGGACAGAGACACGGCCCAGACUCCUACGGGAGGCAGCAGUGGGGAAUAUUGGACAAUGGGGGCAACCCUGAUCCAGCCAUGCCGCGUGAGUGAUGAAGGCCCUAGGGUUGUAAAGCUCUUUCGGCGGGGAAGAUAAUGACGGUACCCGCAUAAGAAGCCCCGGCUAACUUCGUGCCAGCAGCCGCAGUAA
rnacentral:rRNA from 1 species